ACGCUCGAGGGAGGGGCCGGAAGUGACGCAGGGGAGCGGAAGUGCCGGCGCGAUGGCGGAGGUGGAGGCGGCGGGGAGCGGAGCUGGCGGCAGCCCCGAGGCCGGUACCGGCACCAGCAGCAGCGGCGGCGGAUGGCGGCGUCCCCACGGGCCGCUCCAGCGGUACUACGGCCCGUCCGCGGCCGAGGCGGCGGAAGCGGCUCCGGACCCCGCCGACAUCAACGGGCCCCACUUCGACCCGGAAGUUUUCCUCACUAAGGUGCGCAGCGAGUGCCCCCUGGGGCAGUUGUUGGCCCGCGAGGCUGCGCUGGGGCGGGAGAUCCGCGCCCUCGACAGUGACAUGCAGACGCUGCUCUACGAGAACUACAACAAGUUCAUUUCUGCCACUGACACCAUCCGAAAGAUGAAGGUCGACUUCCGGCGCAUGGAGGCAGAGAUGGAUGAUUUGGCUGCCAACAUGGCCGCCAUCAGCACCUCCAGCGCCCGCGUCAGCGCCGCGCUGCAGGACCGGCACCGCCGCGGCGCCCAGCUUGCUGGGGUGCAGGCACUGCUGCGGAAGCUGCAGUCCCUGGUGGAGGUGCCUGGGCGGCUGCGGCGCUGGGCGGCGCCCGGGGCAGAGCCUGCGCGGGCCCUGCGCUGCUACGCCCGUGCCCGCGCCGUGCUCCGUCACUACCGCCACCUGCCCUCCUUCCGCGCCAUCGAGGAUGAGAGCCACGCCAUCAUGGCCGACUUGGCCCAGCGCCUCCGUGCACGCCUCCGGGAUGACACCUUGGACCCCAAGGAGCUCACUGAGUGCGUGGAGAUGCUGCUGCAGCUGGAAGAGCCACCCGAGGAGCUGUGCGAGGAGUUCCUGAGCCACGCCGGUGCCCGCCUCGAGGCCGAGCUGGCAGCGCUGGAGGCCGAGCUGCCCGCAGCUGACCCCUCCGGCACCGCUGCCACGCCGCCUCCCGCCUCCGACAUCCUCGACUUCGUAGACCGCGGCAGCUCAGCCUUUGUGGGCAACCUGUGCCUCCUGGCGGCCUCGUACCGCAGCCUCUUCGAGGGGCGCCCGGGGGCUGGGGACGGCCGCCUGGAGGCCUUCGCCGCCACCCUCACCACCCGCUACUUCGAGCUGCUGGAGCGGCGCCUGGCGCUGGAGCGGGGCCUGGGCGACACCUCGCUGCUGGUGCGGGCGCUCGACCGCUUCCACCGCCGCCUCCGCGCCCUCCUCGAGCUGCUGCCCGCGGCCGGGGCCGAGGCGGGCGCCGCGCUGGUGGCCCGGGCGGCGCGUGAGCGGGUGGAUCGCUACCUGCGGGCGCUGCAGACCUUCUUCCUGGGGUGCCUGGGCGAUGUGCGCCAGGCGCUGGCUGCCCCCCGGCCCCCCGGCAAGGAGGGUCCCGGCCUGCCUGACCUCCUGGCCACGCUCGCCUCCUCCGUCCUUGGCCAGCUCAAGGCCGUCCUGGCCUACGUGCAGCUCUUCACCGCCAAGGACGUCGCCUUUGCCAGCCUGCCCUACUUCAAGGGGGAGUUCUGCGUGGAGGCGGUGCGCGAAGGGCUGGUGGUGGCCUUCGUGCGCUGGCUGUGCCGCACCGCCCGGGGCUUUGCCGACGGUCCGGCUGAGCGGGGGGCCCCCGCGGCACCCCCAGCCCUGCUGCUGCUCCUCGCCCGCCUCUGCCUUGACUAUGAGGCCACAACCAUCAGCUACAUCCUCACCCUCACUGACGAGCAGUUUCCCCCCCAGGACACAGGCCCGGCGGUGACACCGGGACCAGCCCUGUGCGCAGAGGCGCGGGGGGCAGCGCAGCGGCUGCUCGACCACUACGUGCAGGUCCAGGGCGCCGCGGUGGCACAGAUGCUUAGGAAGAGCGUGGAGACACGAGACUGGUUGGGCACCGUCGAGCCCCGCAACGUUCGUGCUGUCAUGAAGCGUGUGGUGGAGGACAUCACCGCCAUCGACGUCCAGGUGGGGCAGCUCUUCGAGGAGGGGGUGCGGCGGGCGCAGAGCAGCGACUCCAGCCGGCGCGCCUUCUCCGUCUACAGCAGCUCACGGGCACCCGGGCGCUACGCCCCCAGCUACACCCCCAGCGCCCCCAUGGACACCCACCUGCUCAGCAACAUCCAGAAGCUCUUCUCCGAACGCAUUGACAUCUUCAGCCCUGUCGAGUUCAACAAGGUGUCGGUGCUGACGGGGAUCAUCAAGAUCAGCCUGAAGACGCUGCUGGAGUGCGUGCGGCUGCGGACGCUGGGGCGCUUCGGGCUGCAGCAGGUGCAGGUGGACGGGCACUACCUGCAGCUCUACCUCUGGCGCUUCGCCGCCGACGAGCGGGUGGUGCAGGGGCUGCUGGACGAGGUGGCCGCCAGCGCCGCCCACCGCUGCCUCGACCCCGUCCCCAUGGAGCACAGCGUCGUCGAGCUCAUCUGCGAGCGCGGGUGACUUUGGAAAAGUCACGUCACCUGUCUCUGGGGCAUCCGAGUUGAAAAGCCCGGUCACCACGAACUGCCCGAACAACCGGAGAGAUGGACAGACGGACGGAUGCUGCUGCUGGAAGAGCUGGGGAGCACCGAGGGGUCGUGCAGACACAGGGUCCCUCGAAUGGAGAAGCCGGAGUGACUGAAAUGAGAGCUCUGCUCUCUCGCUUCCCUCUAACAUAAAGAUCGUGACACAGACCUUGGAAAAGCAUCACAAGAUGCAAACCACAAGCUGAGAAUUCGACGUUAUCGACUCUCCAGCUCAGGUCGAGGGAUGUCCCAUUGCCGGCGACUGCGGGCGCAGCAACCAGCAGCUCCAGCUGCUUCACGCACCGAUUCACCCUGCAGUAAGGCCAGUUUUGUCGUUGUUAAACGAGGUUGGAAACUGGGGGGUUGAGCCUGGGCCCCGCAGAGGGAUGGGGGCAGAAGCAAGGGUAAAAGCAAGAAGAACAUGAGGGUCAAGACGAAGAAAUUUUAACAGAAGUGCAGGGAAAAAAAUCCUAAGAAAUGCAACAGCCACGGGGGAGACGCAGGAACUGCGCUGGCAGCUCCGAGGGCUCCUAUGAGCUGCCUGGCUUCGGUGCUCUUCCGUAUUCAUCGCGCCUGGAAAGAAAGAAGUCUUUGACUGUCGCAAAAACAAACACGGUCUCAGGAGGCAUCUGCUGUGCCCGUGUGCCCUUGGCGUUGGUCCCCUCGGCCGACGCACAGGGACGCGGCGCUGCGCGCCCCCCAGCCCGGCUCCUGGUCUCGUGUCACCAGGAGCUCAGGCCCCCUGAAAGCCAAAGGCAGGGAGUAUUGCAGGAUUCCCGGGACGCGGGCGAAGUCCGUGCUUUGUGUUGGGGCUGUUCAGUUUCUAAGCUGCAAGUUUAAGGAAUUCAAUUUGAAAAGCUGGAGGGCGGUUUUACCACCAGCUGUCCUGGCAGGAGCCUGGCUUGAUUUUGCAUCCCUGGAGCUGAUCCCACUGGGUGCGAACAAGGAUGCCCUUGAAAAUGAGAUUUUCAGCAAUAGGAUUGGGAUCCCACCUGAAAACCAACCUGGAGGAAAUGCUUUGAAGUGUCCGUGAUCCCGAGGAUGUGUUGAGAGGCCCUGGUUUAUCUUCCUCGUCCUGAUCACGUACUGCUGAGGAGACCUG